rnacentral:rRNA from 1 species
UUUAAAUGUAAAUAAAUUUACCUGGGUAAUAGCAGUUAUGUUCUCCAAACCCAAAGAAUUUGGCGGUGUUUUAGUCCUUUCAGAGGAACCUGUCCUGUGAUCGACAGUCCACGAUAUUAUUUACUUGUUUUUGUUUUUCAGUUUGUAUACCUCCGUCAUAAGAGAAUCUUUUUAGAGUAUAAUUUUCUGUAUUUAGAAAAUAUAUAAUGUCAGGUCAAGGUGCAAUUUAUGAAUAAGUAGAGAUGGGUUACAAUAAAUUUAUUUAUAUGGAUUAAGAUAUUUAAUUUCUUAUGAAGGUGGAUUUGAUAGUAAUUUUGAUUAUUAGUUAUUAUGAUUUUGGCUCUAAUACAUGC